rnacentral:lncRNA from 1 species
CAUUUACUAUGAUACUCCACAUAUCAUAGUCAAGUGCUUGAAUGAAGAUUUUCAUCCGAGCUUUCUAAUAGGUAUAGUUUGACCCAUUGAACAGUGGAGGUCGGUUAGUGGACUGCCCCUCGGCUAGAGAAGUGCCAACUUGAGUUGCCAUAGAUCUUUAGCUCUUUGAUGGUUAAAUCAAAGUAGGGCUAGAGCACCGAGCUCUGAUACUACUUGUUGCC